UACAGAGGGUGCGAGCGUUGUCCGGAAUCACUGGGCGUAAAGGGUGCGUAGGCGGCGCGGUAAGUCGGGUGUGAAAUCUCGGGGCUUAACUCCGAAACUGCAUUCGAUACUGCCGUGCUUGAGGACUGGAGAGGAGACUGGAAUUCCCAGUGUAGCGGUGAAAUGCGUAGAUAUUGGGAGGAACACCAGUGGCGAAGGCGGCUCACUGGACCGGUUCUGACGCUGAGAUGCGAAAGCGUGGGGAGCAAACAGG
rnacentral:rRNA from 1 species